UCAAAUCGAUAACCAAUAUUUUUCUUUUGAUAAAUUAAAUUAUCACUUGAUUUCUCCUGUCAUACAAAAGAUAAACAAACAAAUCAGCGAAAAUGUGGAUUUUUAAAGUGUACCCAAGAAAAUGUGCAACCCGUUUAAAACAAAAUUACAUCGAUUGUACGUGCGGUAAAUCGUUCCUCGUAGCAACAGACAUCUUCCAAACCUCCGGUAACAACAAAUCCCGCUAGGCAGCACCAGAGAACACCCCAGUCCACAUUGGAUAUAGCUCCUGAUUUUUCGUCAGAUAUGAAACUGACGACCAGCAAUAAGAGAGGAGGGCCGACGUUGCAAAUAGAACCUGAGGUUCAUGGUGACAAAUUUGUGAUUUUCACCAACUAAGGAAUCAAUCAGGUAUAUUUGGAGAAAACCACAUCACUCUGGACCACGUUUUGGACCGCUUUGGCGUUAUCAUGAGAUAGGAUCGCACGAUAUCGGGAGAGUCAGUCCCUGUUUGCUGAUACAACUUCGGAAAUGGUGAUUAAAUUCCUGUAGUGCAUAUUCAGAUUAGUGUAAAUAAAACUUGGAAUAAAGUUCAGUUUAUUAUGCAGCUGUUUAUGUUUAUGUUUGAUUUGAAAUAAAAAUCCGGCUGAAAAAU